rnacentral:rRNA from 1 species
UGAACGCUGGCGGCGUGCCUAAUACAUGCACGUCGAGCGAACGGACGAGAAGCUUGCUUCUCUGAUGUUAGCGGCGGACGGGUGAGUAACACGUGGAUAACCUACCUAUAAGACUGGGAUAACUUCGGGAAACCGUAGCUAAUACCGGAUAAUAUUUUGAACCGCAUGGUUCAAAAGUGAAAGACGGUCUUGCUGUCACUUAUAGAUGGAUCCGCGCUGCAUUAGCUAGUUGGUAAGGUAACGGCUUACCAAGGCAACGAUGCAUAGCCGACCUGAGAGGGUGAUCGGCCACACUGGAACUGAGACACGGUCCAGACUCCUACGGGAGGCAGCAGUAGGGAAUCUUCCGCAAUGGGCGAAAGCCUGACGGAGCAACGCCGCGUGAGUGAUGAAGGUCUUCGGAUCGUAAAACUCUGUUAUUAGGGAAGAACAUAUGUGUAAGUAACUGUGCACAUCUUGACGGUACCUAGUCAGAAAGCCACGGCUAACUACGUG